UACGGAGGGUGCAAACGUUGCUCGGAAUCAUUGGGCGUAAAGCGCACGUAGGCGGUCCAGCAAGUCGGGUGUGAAAGCCCUCGGCUUAACCGAGGAAGUGCAUUCGAAACUACUGGACUUGAAUACUGAAGAGGAUCGCGGAAUUCCCGGUGUAGAGGUGAAAUUCGUAGAUAUUGGGAAGAACACCGGUGGCGAAGGCGGCUCUCUGGACCGAGACUGACGCUGAGGCGCGAAAGCGUGGGGAGCAAACAGG
rnacentral:rRNA from 1 species